rnacentral:rRNA from 1 species
GCUUGCCUAGAUGAUUUUAGUGCUUGCACUAAAUGAAACUAGAUACAAGCGAGCGGCGGACGGGUGAGUAACACGUGGGUAACCUGCCCAAGAGACUGGGAUAACACCUGGAAACAGAUGCUAAUACCGGAUAACAACACUAGACGCAUGUCUAGAGUUUGAAAGAUGGUUCUGCUAUCACUCUUGGAUGGACCUGCGGUGCAUUAGCUAGUUGGUAAGGUAACGGCUUACCAAGGCAAUGAUGCAUAGCCGAGUUGAGAGACUGAUCGGCCACAUUGGGACUGAGACACGGCCCAAACUCCUACGGGAGGCAGCAGUAGGGAAUCUUCCACAAUGGACGAAAGUCUGAUGGAGCAACGCCGCGUGAGUGAAGAAGGGUUUCGGCUCGUAAAGCUCUGUUGGUAGUGAAGAAAGAUAGAGGUAGUAACUGGCCUUUAUUUGACGGUAAUUACUUAGAAAGUCACGGCUAACUACGUGCCAGCAGCCGCGGUAAUACGUAGGUGGCAAGCGUUGUCCGGAUUUAUUGGGCGUAAAGCGAGUGCAGGCGGUUCAAUAAGUCUGAUGUGAAAGCCUUCGGCUCAACCGGAGAAUUGCAUCAGAAACUGUUGAACUUGAGUGCAGAAGAGGAGAGUGGAACUCCAUGUGUA